rnacentral:sRNA from 1 species
ACCAGGGGCGGGUCUGGGAUAGUGUGUUCUGAGGGUGUCGGAAGGGGCAGCUGGGCUUGGGAAGGGGCGUGGCCUGAGCCCUUUGACUCCGCCCGCUCCUGCAGGGGUCUACCUUUCUAAGGAAGCCGAGCGGAAGCUGCUAACGUGGGAAUCGGUGCAUAAGGAGAACUUUCUGCUGGCACGCGCUAGGGACAAGCGGGAGAGCGACUCCGAGCGUCUGAAGCGCACGUCCCAGAAGGUGGACUUGGCACUGAAACAGCUGGGACACAUCCGCGAGUACGAACAGCGCCUGAAAGUGCUGGAGCGGGAGGUCCAGCAGUGUAGCCGCGUCCUGGGGUGGGUGGCUGAGGCCCUGAGCCGCUCUGCCUUGCUGCCUCCAGGUGGGCCACCACCCCCUGACCUGCCUGGGUCCAAAGGUCAGUGUGUAGCAUCAGCCUGUGCAUCUCCAGCUUCUGUUCCUGUAUUUUUGCGUGUUUUUCUCUCUCGGCGCCUUUCCAGUGUCCCUGGGUCACUUUCUUGGUCUCCUUUGAGCGUUUUGUACUCUCAA